CCCAGUUUAUUUUACCCUGAUACUGAUGUCUCAUAGAGAAGUCAUGGUGGCAAAUCUUAGUGAAAGAGAAAGUAUUAAGUCAAAACAUCUGGAUGGGGUCUGUGACUCGCUAGUGGGAUUCAAAGAGAUUUUGCAAAAGAGAUGAGGAAAAACCCCGAAAUAAAAGUUAUCCUUAGGUAACUGUGCCAUGGCAAGAUUAUCGAAAUGUAAUAAUGUUAAUUGAUAUAAAUAAGCAUUGAUUAAAAUUUGAAAAUCUCUACUUGACAUGCAAUUAACACAAAUUACACAGGCAAUUAUAUGGGGAGUCAAAGUAUUUAGCAAUUUUAAAGCUAUUUACCCACAUGCUAGACUUCUCUCUGAAUAAUUAAGCCAAAUUAUUGUGGACUGUUUCAUUUAUAUUAACUUAAUAUUUGCUUGUUAAUCUAGUAACAAGUACAGUUGAGGUACCUCCAGCCCUAAAUGAAUGAAGGUUAAUGCUAAGGUGACGUUCUUUGUACCUUUAGGUUUCGGAGCCUCCGUGCAGCCUGUGUGUAGCUGUGGUGGAGUCACAUCGGCAGAGAGUUCUGGAAUAACACUUCAUUUACCCUCCACAACCACGUUGAAAGGUGAAACUUCACGGUACCACUGCGAAGAACAUUGUAGGUUGUCUUUAUGAAGAGCACAAUAGGGGAACAUCAUAGAAGAAACUGAAAGAAGUUAAGAGUAAGGAUCUACCCAAACACCUGCAGCAUUUUGGAAGAAAACUCAGUGAAUCAGUUCUACAGGAGUGAAUGAAGCAGGCAGCAGUACUGAUUUUUCUUGGAUCUGCAUUACCAGCCUACAGAGACCCUACUUGUCUUUUUUACUGUCACAAAAGGAACAUUUUAGUUCUGCUGCAGCAAGACAGAAGAGGCUGUGAUUGUCUCUAGGAGGAAUGACAGUUGUCCUCUUCUGAUGCAUUUAACAGGGACUAAAGCCCUAACCUGUGGUAGGAAAAUUGACGCCCUGUUUCAGCUGGAAGACCCCAGUACCUCCGUUUUAGAGACAUUAUUCUCAAGCCAAUGAGUAUUCACUACCAAACUACAGUGGACUUGUUCUUAACUCACAGACAGACAAGGAAGAGCAGAAUCAGGCCAAUCAUUUCCACUGUUUGUCUCAGCUGAGUCAGCUAUCAAGUACAGUCACAGGGUGGUUAUCAGUCCUUAGGACAGGGUGUUUAUUCCUUCACACACUGCUACCAGCCUCCAGACUUAAUGAGAUUUGAGAGACAAGAUUAAUCUCUCAGUUCCCAAUAACAGCAAAUUAAGAUUUGUAAUCAGUUAUUGGACUCAAACAUCAUCAUCUGGGCAUGCGGUUGCUCCUGUAGUUUCCUUGUAGGGGAGGAACACGAAGUGGGUCUUUUGGAGUGGGGGUUGAAUUGUUAGAGUUUUGGGUUUUUUUUCAAAGUGGGAGCAAAAUGAGUAAUCCAAGUGCAGAUGUCCUGAAUUUCCUAUUUAAGACAAAAUAAAAGUAAUGCUGCUACUAUAAAGCCACCCAGAGAUGGCUCUAGAGUAACGCUUUGAAAAAUCUGAUUAAAGAAAGACUCCCCAACUGACCAAAAAGCACUGAUUCAAACAAGGAGAUUAAAACAAAUUUAGAAAGCAGAACUAAAGUAUCUAUGAAGAAACCUUUUUUGACAACGAAGCCACCAGGAGUGAAAUCACCAGGCAGGGAGUGCUGACAAGCAGGUAUCAUUGCCAAAAGAAACAUCGUACCUACAGAAAUGUGGCCAAGGAUCCUGGAAAUGGAAAAUGCCCUUCUAACACUCACUACUUUUAUCUUCACAGUGUUGUUUGCUUAAUCAAAGGGAGGUGCUACCAUUAGCAGGAGGAAAAGACAAGCUGAUGAAUCCUCACCUCCUUGGAAUCAACAGCAUUUGCCCCCACUGACUUCAUCUGCAUCUGGUUUUCACCCUGCAGUAAUUAGACACAAGUAAUGAAACCUAAAGUGAGUUAGGCUCUUGAUUUCAACCCUUAUUUAACAGCAUCCUGGUAUUCUAUGUUCUGAAUACAAAUUGAGAAGAUAAACCAAGCCACUUUAAAAUGCAUCCUUCUGCUUUGUCAAGAACCAAAAGGUAAGUCUCCCAGAGUUAUAUUGUCACUUACUGUUAUUCCAACAUGCUCAUCAACAUCUUCUGAAGUUUAGGUCUCCUUGUUUGCUGAGUCUCCCAUGUCACUGGGCAGCAGCUCUGGAGGGUCCUGUGCCCAGAAACGGGGCUGUUCCUGGGCCAGGCAGCGGGUGCUCACAGCACGAACAGUGCAAAGUGCUGAUCCCCAUCUCCUCUAGCAAAAGGCCAUCAGCUGUGUGAAGAGGUCCUCUAGAUUGAUUCAGUCUGCCAGUUGGCUGCAAAGCGGGCAAAACAGACACUUCAAUUAGUAGAUAUGUCCUAGAUGAAUGCAACAUCAUCGGAGCAUGCCAUAUAAUGCCUCCAAGCACUACAGGUAAGGCAAGAAAAGAUUAAAAAACUGAGAUGUUUUCAGUUCCGUAGAUUUUGGACUUACAGAGACUUGAAAACCAAACAGAAAUAAAGGUCCAGAAACAGGCAGCAAUACCGUCACACAACAGAAGACAAAGCAAUAAUUCAGAAGAGUCUCAAACAUGGGCACCCAUCUCCACUUUGGACAGCCUGGCGUGUUUGAGAUCUCUACCCAGAACUGGCAGAUGUGUUCUAAAACCUAGUGAGAUGUCUAAUGCAACAGCAGGAGGCAAGAUAAGAUUCUUCAUAGCAUCUAACACAGCACCUAAGUUUCUCCCCUACUGUACAAAUUAGGAACUUAAUUUUGAAAAGGUCGUUACUGUUAUCAGAAUAGUCAAAUUAUCUUUUACCAUUAAGGAGACAUCUCUGCAGUCGGCUAAGUACAUUCCUUUUCAUCAGUGGCCAAGAAGUAAUAUUUUCCACUUAUGAUAUUUCUCUCACAAGUUUUCCAGCUCCAGAGUCUCACCUCAUUUCAGAAAAGAGUACAGAUUCACAGACCACUUGGUGUCAAAGUGUUGCUAAGACCUAUCACAUCUACAAAUACUACAGCAAGAGGCAAAAGAGAGCAUCAGCAGAGCAACCUGGAAGAGGUCCUAACAACAGAGCCCUUAGGUGUAAAGCACCUGACUCCCAGAAGGCGGCACAUGGGCAUCUUUCUGCCUCUGUCUAAAUAACACCUGAAAAGCGCAUGCCAACACCCUUGUGCUCCUGCAUGCACUGCACAGCGCUGCUAAUUAGGUUAGCAUCAGUUUUUCUUCUGAGGGCGGAAUAGGGGGUGGGAAACUGUAGGCAAAGUACAGAGGGGAGAAACAAAUCUUAAGAUUUGAAAGAACAGCAAAAGAGAAGGAAGAAGAAAAGAAUGAGCCAGUAAAGAAAAAUAAUCUGAUAACACAAAACUGCAACAAGGAAAAAUAAUGACUGUUGUAUGGCUACAACACUGCCUAUGGAGUUGCACCUUUUCUUUGGUAUCUGUGUCACCUGAUGUUCCAGCUGAGCUACAACUUAUUUAGAGGUGUAGAACAGCUAAAAAGCAGAUGUAGAAUGAGCCAAUAACAAGAGACCACUGUGAACUAAAACAAAGCUUGUGGAGACUUACAACAGAAUUUAUCUUGGUUUUAGCACGCACAACCUAGAGGCAGAAGUGCAUCCUUGACUCAACCACUGACCGUUGCAUGAUGUUGAGUAGAUCUUCCAAGGCUUGUUGCUGAGUGUUGGCUUCGAGAGCACUGGCUGAUAGUUAAAGCAGCAAAAUCAAACAGCCUGGAGUUAAUUUCUCUGUUCUUGUUCAACAAGGCACGUGUCCUAUUUGAUGACCACCCACAGGGAUUAGAGAGCAUGCUGUAGAAAUCCACUGCUAGGAGAAGAUACCUUAUUUCCCCCAAAACAAGACAGGGUCUUAUAUUAAUUUUUGCUCCAAAAGAUGUCUUUUUUCACAUGUAUAUCUGCUGAACACUAUUAAAAUUGACUUUUUAAAUGAACUGUAACUAGGGCCUAUUUUUGGAGUAGGGCUUAUAUUUUCAACAUCCUCAAAAAUCAUGCUAGGGCUUAUUUUCAGGGUAGGUCUUAUUUUCAGGGAAACAGGGUACACUAUGAUAAGCUGAGGAAAAAUCCGUUCCAGCUGACUGCUGACUUUCUUGUGCUCCUUCUGUACUUAGUCUUCACCACACAUUACUCAGAAGUAGUAGCCUAGAACCAAUGAACUAAUGAGAACUAGUUUCAAUCCUCCUGAGAUAUAUCCCGUCCCUCAGUGUUCUUUGAAAACAAGGACUAUGUCACAUUGCUUUUCAGCAACUAUCUCAGGCAGAGCCACACCACACCAUGCUCCAAGCACACCUCCCAUCUAUACCUGAGUCUCAAAUGUUACCCACAUAACAUAAAUAUCCAUAAGCGCUCACAGUGACUGACAUGACAUUCUUAGUCUCUCAGUACUGUGCUAAUCCUAUCCCAAGCUAGUGGAUGCGCUAAUAAAUAUAGGCCCUUCCACAUACCUUACAGCAUCUGCGCCCAUCCUUCCAGGUCCACAUCCUGCUGGUCUGCAAGUAUUCCCUAAAAGACAAAAACAAGUAUCCAUGUACUCAGUGAUUACAAUACUGCUCAAUUCAGGAUGAUGUGGAAUAUCUUGUCCUUUUACUGACUGAUUUGCUGGUAUUAGUAGCAAAUAAUUUCAUUUCUAAGGGAUUCAGAUGCUAGGUCAUAGCUUCUAUUUGGCAAACAGUGAAUCAUGGACAUUUCCUCCUGCAAAACCUUCUGUAUGAUAAUUUUCUCCUUCAUCUACUUUAUGUGAAAUGUAGAUAAAACACCACCAUUGUAGGAAAAUAUACGAGUUUAAUGUCAAUAUUGAUUGUUGAGGAGAUCAUCUUUAGCUCACCGGUUGGGAGAUGGUAAUAUAUAAACUUACUAUGCGCAAUUGACUUGCUUAACAACAUGAUGUGUGGCUAAUGAAAACAAAUGUCAGCUCCUUGCCACAAAGCAUAAAGUAAUACACACACAUUUCCAGCUGAGCACUCCACUACCAAUGCAUUAAACGGCUUUUUCAACUGAAAUGAUGUAUCAAGCAAUUGAAUAAUAGCAGCAGGCAGCUAUGAACACCACCAAGAGUGGCUCCACUACUUGAACAAUGCAUGAAAGAUGCUGGAUUUUCUGAGCUGAAACCAAACCUUCUCUCUAGUACACAGAAGGUUUGGGGACCCUGUAAUUCCUGGAGUCAAUGAAGAACAUUAAGAACAUUGUACCAUGUACUCUGCAUCUCGCAGGACUGUAUGAUUUAUUCAUGGGAGAAAAUUGAUUAUGCCUUUUUAAGUGUAAAGCGAAUCAAAGAUUUGACUCUACAAGGGUAACUCUUCAAAUGGUGCAAUCCAAAGGACCUGUUAGGGCUUCAUUUGCUUGAUUCAUGCAAACAAUCCUUGAAGGCAUUUUAGGCAAAGUGAGCAGCUUGGCUUAAAAUAAAAGCCAUUUCAUCUGAGGAUACAUAACGAUAAUGACUCCCUUAGUCAAGAUUUUUUUGAUUUCCGAUAAUAUAACACUUCAAUACAUCAGACCCUUGGCAGCAGUUUUGAUUUUCUAAUUGGAAAUUCAGCCAGCGUAUGCUUGUGUGUGUAGGCUCAGGGCAUAUAUAUUAAACCCCCAAAUUUUCAUUGGUAUUGUAGACUGUCAUUACCACCCCUGUGGGUGUUUAAAAUAAAGCAUGAUGCAGUUCUUUGUAAUUCAUCUUUACACAGGUCAGCAACUGAGGGUCAGCUUCACACACAGAGCUCAAGGACCUGGACGCGGCUUUAACAAGUAGAUGUCACUGCUAUAUUUUGAAUAUAUCACAUGAAACCAUCAAUAUAUGCCACACUGGGAGAGCUAGCAACACUAAUUUUGUUGAGUAGAUAAUAAGCAAGAACAAAAGUAACUUCAGAGCAGGAAAUCAGAGGGGUUUUUUUUCUUCAAACCACUGAAAUCGUUUAAUACAUUGAAAUGCCUGAUGAUUCACUGAACACUCUGAUUUGAAAGGCAGAAAGUCUAAGAGAUUUAAAAUACUGUUCUUUCUGAGGAGUAAUUACUUGUGAUUUAAUCAGCUAUGCAUUUAAAAAAAAAAAGUAGAAGCUCUUUUACGUAGGAGAGCAAAAUGACUCACUAAAUGAACCUUCACCAUAGGGAGAAGAAAUCCGUAUUACCAUCAGAUUAGUGAACGUGCUUCAAAGAAAUAUGCAAUGAGACCUGACAGUGAGGAUUGGAGGGACAGAAAGUCACCUAAGAUCUUUCUGCAACCUUCAGCCAAAAGAAGAUGUAAGGCUUGAUUUUGCUGUUGUAUAUGAUGGGUAUCUUGAAGUUCCUUGGCGAUAAGAAGACAAGCAUAGUAGAAACAUGUAUGUCCUUAUAUUGGCCUCUCUAUUUUAUCCCCCUAGUGCCACCUCUCAGCUUUCACAGUAGUCACCAACUGACAUCAAACUCAAUUGACAAUUAAGUAAUGUGACUGGAGAAGAAAUCGUUUGGGCAAAAAUUAGCUGUAACACCAAGAUGCAUGUGUGUAACUUUUUUUUUAUCCAAAGAUACCCAGACUUCGUGCUGUUUUGAUGCCUUUCUCUGUGAUUGGAAGCCCAGAAGAUACUUCAGUACAAAUAGUACAUGAAUAAUAAUGUCUGUAUUUAAAUAUGUAAAAGGCCUGAAUGUCAGGUACUCUUGAGUAUGCCAGCUAAAGCUUCUUUUUAAGAUUUUAAUCUCAUUUCCCAGAAUGACCCAACAACUAAAUGUUUCAAUGGGUUUCAGUGAUUUUAUGGGAUAAUGCAAUAACAAGAUUUAUGGCUGCAUAAAGCAACAUCUUAUUAAAAACUUGCUUUACUAACUAAACUGAAAUGUUAUGAUAAAAUAAUUUUGUCUGGAAGAAAAUACAAUUUUAAGAGCUAACAACCACUAAACAGCCACCUGAUAUUUGUAUUUACUGUGGUUUGUAUUUCAGAUAGAAGUCCUAUCUUUCUUCAAGAACCUAGAAAGAUGAUUAUACAUUCCCAGAGCAUUUGCAAGCAUCUGUUCCAGAUCCACAUGCACUUGAUUCAGCUGUGUGCACAAAUAGCAUGAGUUUGAUAACAAACGAUCAGAGCUGGUAAUUAGCACAGACAGCUCCCUAAUUUGCACGGGAAGUCAAAGCAGUUGUUUAAGCAAAGAAAAUACCUUUUUGCAUGCACUGAUCACAGCUGGAAUUAUUUGCCAGUGGGAAUCCGAUUUAUCUGAGGAAAUACUGUACGUUUCUUAACAUCCUAGAAAUGAAACAAAUGGAAUAGUUUCUUCUUCAGUUCUCAGAAUAAAUCAGUUUUCCCUUUCAGAAUGCUUUGAAGAUUGUUUUUUCUUUGCAGAAUAAAACGCAAUGUUAUACCAACCGUCUCAGUAG